AUUGAACGCUGGCGGCAUGCCUUACACAUGCAAGUCGAACGGUAACAGGUCUUCGGAUGCUGACGAGUGGCGAACGGGUGAGUAAUACAUCGGAACGUGCCCGAUCGUGGGGGAUAACGCAGCGAAAGCUGUGCUAAUACCGCAUACGAUCUACGGAUGAAAGCGGGGGAUCGCAAGACCUCGCGCGGACGGAGCGGCCGAUGGCAGAUUAGGUAGUUGGUGGGAUAAAAGCUUACCAAGCCGACGAUCUGUAGCUGGUCUGAGAGGACGACCAGCCACACUGGGACUGAGACACGGCCCAGACUCCUACGGGAGGCAGCAGUGGGGAAUUUUGGACAAUGGGCGCAAGCCUGAUCCAGCCAUGCCGCGUGCAGGAUGAAGGCCUCGGUUGUAACUGCUUUGUACGGACGAAAAGACUACUCUCUAAUACAGGGGUGAAUGACGGUACCGUAAGAAUAAGACACCGGCUAACUACGUGCCAGCAGCCG
rnacentral:rRNA from 1 species